GAAGUCAAAGACUUGCUUUCCAAAAUGCAACAUAGCCAUUUGUAGACAAUUCAACAUUGUGCAUAAUAAAAUAUACAUGUAUGAUCAAGUACCGGUAGCUUUUUUUUGAUAAAAUCAAUCAGUUUGUUUUUAUAAUACGUUUAGCUGCCUCAUUGUUAUGGCCUAAUUUCAUCCUCAUUAUCAGGUGAAAUCCAUUGUUUCAAAUUGUAUACUACCUCAAUCUGCUGAAAUGUUCUUUUUGUGGCAUUUGUUCAUGGAGGGUUAAUCACUGGCUAAAUCUUGCAAAAUGCAAGAGUGACAAGUUAUGCAAACUGUAGCAUCAAGAAUUAUAUACAUGCCUUAAAUUUUUAGAUGUAAUUUGAGGUAAUGACAAAUUGUAAUACAUGAACUUGAAUUGGUUGUCAUCGGCGAUACUGAUCAAUUAGAGAAAUGAAGGUACUUGUGUUGAACUAAUUACUACAGUUUCAAUGAUUAGGGUAAUUUGUUUUUUGUCAAGGUUGUCUUUCAAACAGAAAUCGUGUGCAAUAUCCAAGGUAAUUUUAAAUACUCAUGCAAGUAUGAUGCAUUUGUUUUUGUAGGUAAAGUUCAUCUCUGACGAUUAUACUGAAGAGAUGUACAUAACGCAGAAGAUGCAGUGAGUUUAUUGAUGGUUUCUGUGCUUGGCCAAGUUACAGUGCCGUCAUCCAGCCUUCAAGCAUGGUUCAGAAGCCAUGAACCACAAAUCAGCAUGUUUCCUUCCAGUUUCCAAUGAGCACUCUGACAGCAUCACUUAGCAUGCCAGUAUUCAACAUUGUGCAGAUCAUCUCUGUAAAGAUGGCUGUGUUGCUUCAGUUGCCACAUCUCUACGUAUGUUCUUCCUGUUAGCAAAGGCACACUGUGACAGCAUAUACUUUCUACAUGCUAAUACAUGCACAGUAUUGUUCAGGGAAAGACAUAUGCAAACCUAUCAGCUUCCAAAGUCGGCAACAUCCUGCUGUCACUACAGUCUCAGCACCUACCAGCUCCCACUCUGUCAGCAACAUCCUGCUGUCACAUGUCCAGCUACUGGUACUUGAAGUUACUGUGUGCUUGUACAUUCUCAGCACCUACUAGCUCUCACUCUGUCAGCAACAUCCUGCUGUCACAUGUCCAGCUAUUGGUACUCGGAGUUACUAUUUGCUUGUACUUUCUCAGCACCUACCAGCUCCCACUCUGUCAGCAACAUCCUGUCCAGCUACCGGCACUUGGAGUUAUUGUGUGCUUGUACAUUCUCAGCACCUACUAGUUCCCACUCUGUCAGCAACAUCCUGCUGUCACACCUCCAGAUAUGUGGAGUUAUUGUGCUUUUACAGUCUCAGCCAGUAUUGGAUUGCAAGUUGUCUUAUGCUGCUACAACCUACACAUUUAGCAUUCUCUUGAACCUUGAGGAACCACCAUAUGAACAAAGAGACUCUGAAACACUCAUAAUAAACCUGUCACGGUGGUUUGUUGAACAUUCGUAUUAUUUGGAGGACUUGCAAUUAGCUCAUAUAGUCAACUAGCUAUUCCAGUCCUCUGGAAGAGUUAGUUGGCUGCUUGAGGUUAUUCUAUACUAGUAGCAUGCCUUUUUUGUGCACGGUCAAGAGUAGAUCGAGAAAGCAGUUGUUUUUAAGGGCAAAACAAUUGUUCUUGUUCCUUGAAAAAGUUGGUCAAAACAUUUUCCCAACCAAUUUUUUUUAUUUAAACAGUAAGAUAAAGGGCAACAAGGACUGUUUAAUGCCAUUUCUACUUGGUAGAAAAACAAUUCAAUGCUAAUUUUUAUCCAAGAUAUUCAAAGCUUUGGUGUUAUUGGCAAAGAGAGUACCCACAAGAGUGGUUGUGACAUGUACAUGCAAUACUGUUUGCAAUGAUUAUGCUAUUAUUAUGAUAAAAAUCGUGCAAAGUACGGCGUUAAAAUGGGCUUUCUCCUUGUACAUAGCACAAUACAUAAGUGAUUGUGAUCAUAAAUGUAUUGAAUUACAUAAAAUAUGAUUGUGGAUAAAUAUUUGGUAAUUUUGGGGAGGGGUGAGUGUAGGGGGGGGGGGGGGG